CACGUGAUGAUGACGCCACGUAUCACGUGCGACUGACGUCACCGGAGAACGAAUCGCCGCUACGAAGCAGCCGCAAUUAUCAACUGAGAUCGGUGUUUAUUUGGGGCCUUGAGGGAAGAUGAAGCAGAACUCGAAUGUUCCGGCAUUUCUCAGCAAGCUUUGGACUUUAGUGGAGGAUUCUGACACAAACGAGUUCAUUACUUGGAGUCAGAAUGGACAGAGCUUUUUGGUUCUUGACGAGCAGCGGUUUGCUAAAGAGAUUCUACCAAAGUAUUUCAAGCACAACAACAUGGCUAGCUUUGUAAGACAAUUAAACAUGUAUGGUUUCCGUAAAGUGGUACAUAUAGACUCUGGCAUUGUUAAGCAAGAGCGGGAUGGACCAGUGGAAUUUCAACACCCAUUCUUUGUCCAAGGGCAGGAUGAAUUAUUGGAAAAUAUAAAGAGGAAGGUGUCCUCAACAAGACCAGAAGAAGGCAAAGUGUGCCAGGAAGAUAUAUCGACAAUUUUAAGCAAUGCUGCAAAGGUCCAAGUCCAACAAGAAACUAUUGAUUUGCGAUUGUUUACAUUAAAAAGGGACAACGAAGCUUUGUGGAGAGAAAUAUCUGACUUGCGUAACAAACAUGUCCAGCAGCAACAAGUUAUUCGAAAGAUUGUGCAGUUUAUUGUGACUCUGGUGCAGAAAAACAGAUUAGUCAGUCUAAAGAGAAAACAGCCAUUACUUUUGAACACAAAUAACUCUCCAAAAUCCACGCGCCUACAGACGAUGGUUAAGGAGACAGUGGAAGAUAAUCAUCAUGUUUCCCUUAGGAGUGAAGGCUUAAAAAGAGGGGAGCUUCCAGAAGACAUUGUCAUAUAUGACAUAACUGAUAACAUGGAAUUUGAGGAGGAGGAGGUAAAGCAACAGGAAGCAGGAGCUCAUGCUGUUUGUGAAAGUUCUGGUGAAAGCACCUCGAAUGCGGUGGCUGAGAGGCUUUCACCAGAAAUUGUAAUAGUGGAAGAUGAUAGUGAUUAUGAAGACGCUCCAGUUGUGCAAGGAAAAAAAAAUGCUGAGACUGGUCUUCGUAGCCCUGCUGGUGAGAACACGUCUGUUCCUCUGAUGUCAAGUGCCCUACAGCUCAACAGCCAGUCUUCUUUUAAUCUAGAGGAUCCAGUUACAAUGAUGGAUUCCAUUCUUAAUGAAAGUGGCGUUAUUUCUCAAAACCUCAACCUUCUUGGAAAAUGUAAAGUUGUUAUCCUGCUGAAGCAGAAAAGAGACUCCAAAAACUAUUUCUACAAAUUAGGAAGAUUGGAAUAUUCAAGAAUGUCAUUGUUUUAUGUGUUUGUCAUGAUCAGUGUGGCUUGAAUAGCCAUGCACAGUAAUUAAGAUGUAUUCACAUACUUUUAAUCGUAAAAUAUGCUUUAGUGAUAUGCAGGUAUACUGGCAGAUUCAGUAGAUUAGUGGCCUACAUAUCAUAUGCUUUGUAAAGUAGCUCAUACGGUAGUAUCCUAAACAAAUAAUUCCUGUGUUCAAGUCAAUAUAAACACAGAAAGUGUAAUACAGUUGCAACAUUUGCACCAGGUCUGUUAAACAUAGCAACAAGGUGGAUGGGUUUUCAAACAGGUAAUAAGUAAACGCUACCUGCUGUUGAUAUUGGCUACUAGGCCUAGUGUGUGACUUUUACGAACCCUAUAGGGUUGUCCUCCAAAUGCAUCACAUUUAGUUAGCUUAAAGGGAUUCUGUAAUUUUUAUGGUGUACUUUUUACAUUGCAAAUAAUUCACCUUUAAAAUGUUAUACUUGGAACAACAGAUGUACUAUUGUUGUGGAGGCAGCCAUCUCCGUGUAUUGUGCUCAAUUUUGAGCUUUCAAAAGGAGCCAGCACUUCACAAUAGAACUACUCUAGGGCAGCUAUUGUUUCUCCCCUUCUCUAUUUACUGUCAAUAUGACCCAAGCCAUGUAAAGGCAAAACAGUUUCUCCAUCUUGGGUGCUAUUCCCAUGUCUUCCACUAGGAGCAUAUUUAGUAAUGCAAAUGAUGUCUGAAUUUGUUUUGUUCUCUACAAUGCUAAAAUCUACUCUAUUCUUCAAGAAACUUUUUGGAAGGGUAAAGGGAUCUGGGGUCAGAUAUUAUUACCUGUGUUUUUUAAGCUUUUAUUUUGAAACAUUUAAACAUUAACAAAACCAAUAGAAAACAUAGAAAAGGAAGAGAGAGAGUUGAGUGAAGAGGGGAGGUGAGGUACAAGUUGCCAUACCUGUUAUAUGAGUUUAGAUGUACUCAAACAGUUUGAGCAUUUAGCCAGGUACCCCAUAUGGCUUCAAAUUUUCCUAGGCAGCCUCUAGCCAGAUAGGUCAGUUUCUGGUUUGAGAGAGAAGCCUGUCCUUGUAUUUUAAUGUAUUUGUGGUGCCAAUAUUCUGCCCCUCACUGUAUAAUGUAUUUCUGAAAUGUAAUUAUUGUUCAUAGAUGUUAAUGUACAAUUAUUUACUAGUGCAUACUGUGUGUAUAUAUCUUUAUCACCUUUACUGUACAAGCUAAUUGAUCUUUUCAAAAACAGAUUUCAAUGCAGGAUUCUUCUGGGGCAGCACUAUUAACUGAUGUAUGAGAGGAAAAAACAUUUUCCUGUGACAGAAUUUCUUUAAUGCAUUUCAUGCUACUGCUUGCUACUAAUGCAGUUGUCAUGAUGUGACGACCUGUAUUGGCAUUUCUAUUAAGAGUUCACAGAAUUGCAGCUUUUAUAUGCGACCAGGGCCUCUCCUGCAAUGAGGCAAGGUGAGAAUCUUGCCUCGGGUGGCAUGGAGCGGCCAGUUACCAGGGGCAGCAAAAAUCCACCUCUGGUGACUUUAAAGCCGAAUUCCCAUUUUUAAAAAAAGAUUUUCGAGUGUAGCAGCCCCUGAAACACCCCUGUACUUUUUUUUUUUUUUUUUUUAGAGUGCUCCUUUCUGGGUUUAAAUAUACAUUGAUCUCUGAAUGGUGGUAAGAAGUGUAAGAGAGUGAUACAUUGGAGCUUCAAACAACCUGACUUUUGAGUUAUUCAGCCACUUGAAUGCUCCUUGCACUUCUUUGGGCUGCUGCUCCUCCUACCUAGCUCAUUGCUGCCCAAAUCCAGGCUAAUGCUGGGCACCAACUUGGCGAGUGUUGAGGAGGCCAUCAUUUUUGGCAUUUAUGGAACAAUGGACUGACAAAUCAAUAGCUAACCCAGCUGAAAUUAAAUAUUUCAUAGUAUCACAGCUUUAAUCACCUUUCUUUUCCACAGUGUAGUACGGCAAACAAUAACGUGACCAGUUUUACAGUUAAGUUGAGCUGAUGGAUUACUUAGACAGCAUUGAUUGCACGUUGGAUGAUUUCAAAGCUUUACUGUCUGGGCGUCAAUUCAGCAUAGACCGAGAUCUGCUGGUAGAU